AUUCUUGUAGUUGAAUACAACGGUAGUUUUUCAAGCUGAUAGUCCUGGUUAAAAUCCUGGCGAGAAUC
rnacentral:tRNA from 1 species